GCAGGCUCGUUGGUGAACAGCGGAGGG
rnacentral:rRNA from 1 species